AUAAGUUGGGGAGAACGAAAAAGAGAAUCGGUAAGUGCCACAACUCUUGAAAAACCGAGCAAGCAUUGAAAAAAAUAAAAAAUUAGAAAAGAGAAACAUCUGUUUUGUGAAUACGAUGUGAAAAGAAAAGAAAAAAAUAGAGAAAAUGAAAAUGAAUGCUUGCUUGGAAGAAAAAUAGUGAAAAACAAAAAUUGAGUUGUGAAAUAAGAGUUGUGAAGGUUUCAAAUGAGAAACAAAGGGAACGAAGUUGAGAUGUGUAAAUAACAUUUACAGUGAAUGUCUCUUUUGCAUCGGCAAGUUCGUUUUCAAUGGCCUUAGAAAUGACCCUUGUUUGUAAACCUAACCAAGCUACAAUCGAAAAGUCCUUAGUGAUCUUC
rnacentral:lncRNA from 1 species